rnacentral:lncRNA from 1 species
GCCAUGUUGCUUGUAUCACAGUAAUUUUUUUCUGUGUUGCUGUAAAUAAUAUUUCUUUUCUUCUCUCCUUGGUUAUUUCAGGAUGUCAUCCUGGAUUCACUGUCUCCAGCACAACAAGCUGAAUUACUACUUGAUUCGAACAAUUUUUCCAACGAAACACUCGUGGAACUUGUAUUUUCAACACUCACAACUCAAGAAAACCUCACCUCAUUCUUUGCCACAUUCGUUCGUGAUGCUGUAGAGCAAAAUGUAACCUCAGUUACCCCUGGAGUACGUGACACUGUCCUCAAUUUGACAUUGACGGAGCUCAGCCGAGGAUUUGACACAUUUGACGCAGAUGACUUCAGGUUAUGGUUCCAGGAUUAUCUACCGCUGUUUCUCCUGAGCACCAACUCAAACACACUGGAAAUCAUUCCCAGGAAUAUCACAUGUAACUCCUAUCAAGAGAUUGUCAAAGGCUUCAACAAUGUUUUCAGUAAUCUCUCUGAGAGCCAACGUCAGCAGGUUUUUGUGUUCAUUAAAGAUUAUCUCAGCAGACAAUCUUCUUCAGGUCUUUCCUGUGUCGAAUCAGUAAACAAUGAGGCCUCGCGACGUUUUCUUGAAGACAACUUUGGUCGUUUCAGCACUCUUGCAUCUUUCAAUGACUUUGUGACCUUGAACACAAACUUCAGCGGAGUGCAGGUUGCAGAUCUUCUUACUUUCAAUCAGCUGACCCAGCUGGCAGCUACGCCCUCACAGCUAAACGGGAUGCAAGAUGUGAAAGAAGUCAUGGCCAACAUCGACCCCGCCGACUUUGAUGAUUUCUUUGAUGCAGUCUCACCUGCCAUUGAGGUCCAGUCAGCCAACUACACACAGGAAGUGAGAUCCGGCUUCCUUCAAGAAGUUGUCGACAGAGGCAAUCUGUCCUCACCGGCCAUCAGCGAUGCAGAAUUCCUGCAGUGGCUCAGGUCUCGACUGAGGCCCCUCCUGGUUGACCUCUCUCCCAUGCUGGUGAUGCCUUUGUUCAACAUCGGCUUGAACAGGAGUUGUAACAACAGCCAAGAGAUAAUUGCAGUUCUGGACACCCUGCGCAUGACACUCAGCAACGACACCCAAGAGGAGGUCAUCAGAAACAUUCAACGCUCC